UACGAAGGGGGCUAGCGUUGUUCGGAAUUACUGGGCGUAAAGCGUGCGCAGGCGGUUUUGUAAGUCAGAUGUGAAAUCCCCGGGCUUAACCUGGGAACUGCGUUUGAAACUACAAGGCUAGAGUGUGGCAGAGGGGGGUGGAAUUCCACGUGUAGCAGUGAAAUGCGUAGAGAUGUGGAGGAACACCGAUGGCGAAGGCAGCCCCCUGGGUUAACACUGACGCUCAGGCACGAAAGCGUGGGGAGCAAACAGG
rnacentral:rRNA from 1 species